CGCUUUGACCAAUGCAGAGCUGGAGAAACAAGUCAGUCUCCUCUCCCAAGAGAUCGAGUACCUGAGAUGCAUAUAUCUGAAGGAGGAAGCUCAACUGGACCAUCACACCGGAGAUUUGGAUGUGGUUGUGAAAAUGGACAACAACAGAUGUUUAGACAUGGACAGCAUUAUUGCCAUCCUCAGGGAAGAGUACAAAGAAAUUGUCCAGAGGAGCAAAGCUGAGGCUGAUGCCUUUUACCAAAACAAGUAUGAAGAGGCUCAAAGCAAGAGAUGCUGCUACAAGAGAGACCUGAAGAAAUACAAGCAGCAGAUUUCGGAACUUACAAGGAGGAUCGAGAAGCUUCAGUGUGAAAU